GAUGAACGCUGGCGGCGUGCCUAAUACAUGCAAGUCGAGCGAACAGACGAGGAGCUUGCUCCUCUGACGUUAGCGGCGGACGGGUGAGUAACACGUGGAUAACCUACCUAUAAGACUGGGAUAACUUCGGGAAACCGGAGCUAAUACCGGAUAAUAUAUUGAACCGCAUGGUUCGAUAGUGAAAGACGGUUUUGCUGUCACUUAUAGAUGGAUCCGCGCCGCAUUAGCUAGUUGGUAAGGUAACGGCUUACCAAGGCAACGAUGCGUAGCCGACCUGAGAGGGUGAUCGGCCACACUGGAACUGAGACAAGGUCCAGACUCCUACGGGAGGCAGCAGUAGGGAAUCUUCCGCAAUGGGCGAAAGCCUGACGGAGCAACGCCGCGUGAGUGAUGAAGGUCUUCGGAUCGUAAAACUCUGUUAUUAGGGAAGAACAAAUGUGUAAGUAACUAUGCACGUCUUGACGGUACCUAAUCAGAAAGCCACGGCUAACUACGUG
rnacentral:rRNA from 1 species